CGAUGGCAGAUGAUCGCUGGUGAACCGCAAGGUUCGCUGGAGGAAAGUCCGAACACCAUACGGCAGCAUGCCGCGUAAAAUACGCGGGCGCCGCGGUUGAAAAAUUGCGGUGACGGAGAGUGUCACAGAAAAGACACCGCCGGUUCUUUGAGAAAAGUGCAGGCAAGGGUGAAAAGGCGAGGUAAGAGCUCACCGCUCGCGAAGCAAUUCGCGAGGCACGAAAAACCCCAUGCGGUGCAAGACAAAACAGAGGAAGGGCAGCCGGCCCGCUAAAGAUCCUCGGGUAUAGUCGCAUCACGAUGCUGUAGCGGCGGUCUCUGACCGCCGAGACUUCAUCGGGCAUUCUGCGAAAGCUGGAUGAGAUAAAUGAUCAUCCCGGCUGAGAAAUAAGCCGGACAGAAUUCGGCUUAUCGCCAUCGAAAA
rnacentral:RNase_P_RNA from 1 species